AUUGAACGCUGGCGGCAUGCCUUACACAUGCAAGUCGAACGGCAGCACGGGUGCUUGCACCUGGUGGCGAGUGGCGAACGGGUGAGUAAUACAUCGGAACGUACCUUAUCGUGGGGGAUAACGCAGCGAAAGCUGUGCUAAUACCGCAUACGCCCUGAGGGGGAAAGCGGGGGAUCGAAAGACCUCGCGCGAUUAGAGCGGCCGAUGCCUGAUUAGCUUGUUGGUGGGGUAAAAGCCCACCAAGGCGACGAUCAGUAGCUGGUCUGAGAGGACGGUCAGCCACCCUGGGACUGAGACACGGCCCAGACUCCUACGGGAGGCAGCAGUGGGGAAUUUUGGACAAUGGGGGCAACCCUGAUCCAGCAAUGCCGCGUGAGUGAAGAAGGCCUUCGGGUUGUAAAGCUCUUUUGUCAGGGAAGAAACACCGGCUCUAACACAGUCCGGGAAUGACGGUACCUGAAGAAUAAGCACCGGCUAACUACGUGCCAGCAGCCGCGGUAA
rnacentral:rRNA from 1 species